AUACUGCUGAAGAGUCCCAAACUAGGAUGAAACAGCUGUCCAGCAC
rnacentral:hammerhead_ribozyme from 1 species